UAGACUGUCACUGAGAGGUGUGUGGAAGAUAGGCUGUUGGCAGACAAAGCUCAAACUUAGCGCCCUUGGAAGCAGAAGGAGUUUUCACGGUGUCAAAACGUCUGUGGUGAGAAGAGGAGAGAAAUAAAGUUGCACCAGUAGAAGCUCCGA